rnacentral:lncRNA from 1 species
CAGGAGAAUCGACGCAGCCUCGCCUUCUGCGGUGGCACGGGCUGCUGCCUGAGCACGAGCUGCUGCCUCAGUCGCCGCCGCCGCCUGGAGGUAGUGGGCCCACGCGUCCAUGAUCAAUGCUAGCUGCUUGCUGGUGGUGGUGAGUACUCCUCCUUCUCUUCACCUGGAAAAGGGCAAUUUCGGAAAUUAAAUGGCAGAUGUAUAACAGAAACCCAGAUAUAGGAGCUGGUUGUACUAGCUCGUAAAUUAGUGCAUCGGCGAUGAGGAUUUCUUUCUAACCCCAGUGCUUCAUGCAUAUGACGCUAUUUAAUUUAGGAAGGAAAACCGACCGGAAUUUUUUUUUGAUCUGCAUCUCGUGCAGUAAUUAUAUUAGGAAGAUAAUCAGGAUGCGAGGAAAGAUUCCAUCAAGGCAAUUAUUGCAAAAGAUUUGAUCCGCAUAUAUUGAAGUAGUGAGAAGAAAACCAACACGCAGCUAGCUCAUCAAGUUUAAAGAAGUAAAACAAAUGGAAACAUAUAAAUCCCCGCCAUAAAAGAAAUAAUUAAAAAAUGCAGCUGAAAAGAUCCUCCUGGAUCCAACCAAGAUUGAAAGAAGAAAAAACUGACAAAGAAAAGGAAUCAAAAUCUUGCCGCCAGACGGCCCAGACCCUAUGAACGAGGGACUAAAAUAAAACCAGACGGUAAAGCUAAGCCGGACAACAACAAACAAACCUUGCCCAAAUUCCAAGAAACCGUUGUUCUGUGCGGAUCGAUAGACCCAAGAGGCAGGAGAAUGAAUUCAGUGCAACAGCAAAAGAAAAGAAAAGAGGUGGCUCAAUAAGCAGAUGGAACACGAGAUCGAGUUUGGGGUAAAAAGAAACCAUAUCCUAACAAAUUAAGUAGAAUGCCCGUGCAUAUUGAAUACAUGACGCUUCUAUAUGCGAUCAGUUUUUUUCUGCUGACAAUAAUCAGUAAGAAUCACGAGCCAAGAAGCUGAAGAGGGAAGAAACCGAUUGAACCCACACACACACAGAGAACGAAACCAAAAGGUAG